GACGAACGCUGGCGGCGUGCCUAAUACAUGCAAGUAGAACGCUGAAGAGAGGAGCUUGCUCUUCUUGGAUGAGUUGCGAACGGGUGAGUAACGCGUAGGUAACCUGCCUUGUAGCGGGGGAUAACUAUUGGAAACGAUAGCUAAUACCGCAUAACAAUGGAUGACACAUGUCAUUUAUUUGAAAGUGGCAAUUGCUCCACUACAAGAUGGACUUGCGUUGUAUUAGCUAGUAGGUGGGGUAAUGGCUCACCUAGGCGACGAUACAUAGCCGACCUGAGAGGGUGAUAGGCCACACUGGGACUGAGACACGGCCAAGAGUCCUAAGGGAGGCAGCAGUAGGGAAUCUUCGGCAAUGGGGGAAACCAGACCGAGCAACGCCGAGUGAGGGAAGAAGGUUUUCGGAUCGUAAAGCUCUGUUGUAAGUCAAGAACGGGUGUGAGAGUGGAAAGUACACACUGUGACGGUAGCUUACCAGAAAGGGACGGCUAACUACGUG
rnacentral:rRNA from 1 species